AUAGCCAUAAUAUGAAAGGCAAAGCAGCAAACCAAGUGAAAAUGAAACUGAAAGGCUCCGGAAGCUGCAAAUCGACAAAUUAUAGCACUGUUUAUACUUCGAGUGAGAAGUAUAUUUCAUACAUCCCGAUAUCAUCUCACUGUACGAAGUUUCAUGAAUAGUACUACGAUCUUUCAGCUAAUUAGGUAAUGUUGAUAGGAUUCUCCAAAAAAUGUAGUAACGCCUGUGUUAGAUCAUUCAAAAAUACAUAGAUUUUGGAGGAUAUGACACACACCCGCUAUUUUUGAAGAGCUAACCAAUAUAGGUAACAAGGCUUACCUCCAAGAGAUAAGUGAUCUCGAAUCCAGUCAAAUCGUCAAGGAAGAAAAACCUAGCAAGACAUUUACAGAACAAUUAAAUCAUUUUGUCGAUGUGGAUCAGAUGUCUUUUUGACAUCGUAAAAUAGAAAAAGUGUAGCGUUAUAACCAGGUCGAGAAACUAAUAACGAUGCACAAGGAAAUCAAAACUUAGAAUGCUGAGAGAUUUUUAAGUACUACUCACAAUCCAAGAGCAACGACAGCAGCAGGGACAUUUAACAAGAACAUCUUCAGAUAAUCGACAGAAAGGUCACUAUAAACCUACAAAAAGUAAAGUACAUCAACGCGUUUAACCUCAUAGGCAUCUUGCAUGGAUGUACGAAGAAAAAGAACAAUCAUUUCCACGCGAGGGAGACAUGAAAGAUGAACGUUUGUUAUAAAACUAGUAAAUCCUAUCGAGCAGAGAAGUACAAACCUUUCUACUUCGAAGACUGCAUCUUGGACCCUCAACCACUAUAUCGCUGCCAUCCCUCUACAAAAUUAAGAGACGUCAAAAAGGUGAUACCGAAAGAAUGUACAAAACCUUCAGAAUUAUACGGUAAGAAUUAGUUACUUACUUUAAAUUUGGAAGCUGCAAAUCGACAAAUUAUAGCACUGUUUAUACUUCGAGUGAGAAGUAUAUUUCAUACAUCCCGAUAUCAUCUCACUUUACGAAGUUUCAUGAAUAGUACUACGAUCUUUCAGCUAAUUAGGUAAUGUUGAUCGGAUUCUCCAAAAAAUGUAGUAACGCCCGUGUUAGAUCAUUCAAACAUACACAGAUUUUGGAGGAUAUGACACACACCCGCUAUUUUUGAAGAGCUAACCAAUAUAGGUAACAAGGCUUACCUCCAAGAGAUAAGUGAUCUCGAAUCCAG
rnacentral:lncRNA from 1 species